ACAACCUUGGGAAACCGAGGCUAAUACCGCAUAAGACCACAGUGUCGCAUGGCACAGGGGUCAAAGGAUUAUCGCUGAAAGAUGGGCUCGCGUCCGAUUAGCUAGAUGGUGAGGUAACGGCCCACCCAUGGCGACGAUCGGUAGCCGGACGUGAGAGGUUGAACGGCCACAUUGGGACUGAGACACGGCCCAAACUCCUACGGGAGGCAGCAUG
rnacentral:rRNA from 1 species